UACAGAGGUCCCAAGCGUUGUUCGGAUUCACUGGGCGUAAAGGGUGCGUAGGCGGUCGGGUAAGUCUGACGUGAAAUCUCCAAGCCUAACUUGGAACUGCGUUGGAUACUCUCCGGCUAGAGGUAAUGGGAGGGGAGACUGGAAGUACUUGGUGUGAGCAGUGAAAUGACGUAGAUAUCAAGUGGAACACCAGUGGCGAAGGCGAGUCUCUGGACAUUUCCUGACGCUGAGGCACGAAAGCCAGGGGAGCAAACGGG
rnacentral:rRNA from 1 species